rnacentral:lncRNA from 1 species
ACAAGCUCCAAAGAAACCCAUAUCUCCUUCCUGUCUGCCUUGAAAACCCGCCAUAAAUUCACUUAAAAGCGACCAAUAGUACCACCACCCACACACCAAGAAAAGAAGAGACUCUCUUGCUUGUUUUCACAAAGCAAACUCAUUUCUCUGAGCUUUGGCUGGAUUUUAGGUGGCUUUGUGCAGCCUUUAUCCUGAUUUUGUUUCUCUUUUUCUGUUUCCAUUACCACCAACUCAGUGCUGUUAAAGCCACCUACUUAGCAUCAUUUCUGGUCCUUAGACAAGCCAC